rnacentral:tRNA from 2 species
GCUGGUGUGGCUCAACGGUAGAGCAGCUGAUUUGUAAUCAGCAGGUUGGGGGUUCGAUUCCCUUCGCCAGCUCCA